CUCAGGCCGUUCCCGACUCAGGGUAGCCCCCGCCUGAGGGCAGCCUCGGCUGCCGCCGUCGUUCGAGUGAUGGAGUCUGGGACCCUCCGCUCGGCAGAGGCAGACAUGGCCAGCAGUGAAAUACACCGUGCUCCCCCCCACCCAGGAACCACAGGUGUGUGUACGGUUCCUGUGAGUGCCUCCAUCUGGAAAUGUGAGACCAUGCUUCCUCUCUGUAUCUCAGGAUGGCAGCUGUAAGGUUACCACUUCUGACUGAUCGCAGCAGCUACAUGGAUUAAACAGUGAAAUCACCAAAUCAGGCUACUUGAAUAAAAGCUGAAUUUCCAUCCUGUGAAGCCAGAAUGCAUCCUGCAAAGCUCUUCACUGACAAGGCAGCUCAGUCAGGUUAUAUAAUUGGCACCCUCAUAAGCUUUUAAUCUUUGGCAGAGUGGUACUCAAAGGGAGUGAAGUUCUCUCCUACCCUUGAAAAUAUCAAUGAAACUCAGAGAAUGCUUACUGCUGAAUGUCCCACGAUCACAAGAAGCCAAGAGCACACUGCCUUAGUACCAACGAGAAAAGAGCUUUUGGAAAGUCAAUCUCCUUCCUCCUAA